AUUGAACGCUGGCGGCAGGCCUAACACAUGCAAGUCGAGCGGAUGAAGGGAGCUUGCUCCUGGAUUCAGCGGCGGACGGGUGAGUAAUGCCUAGGAAUCUGCCUGGUAGUGGGGGAUAACGUCCGGAAACGGGCGCUAAUACCGCAUACGUCCUGAGGGAGAAAGAGGGGGAUCUUCGGACCUCACGCUAUCAGAUGAGCCUAGGUCGGAUUAGCUAGUUGGUGGGGUAAAGGCCUACCAAGGCGACGAUCCGUAACUGGUCUGAGAGGAUGAUCAGUCACACUGGAACUGAGACACGGUCCAGACUCCUACGGGAGGCAGCAGUGGGGAAUAUUGGACAAAGGGCGAAAGCCUGAUCCAGCCAUGCCGCGUGUGUGAAGAAGGUCUUCGGAUUGUAAAGCACUUUAAGUUGGGAGGAAGGGCAGUAAGUUAAUACCUUGCUGUUUUGACGUUACCAACAGAAUAAGCACCGGCUAACUUCGUG
rnacentral:rRNA from 1 species